UACGUAGGGUGCGAGCGUUAAUCGGAAUUACUGGGCGUAAAGCGUGCGCAGGCGGUCUGUUAAGACCGAUGUGAAAUCCCCGGGCUUAACCUGGGAACUGCAUUGGUGACUGGCAGGCUUUGAGUGUGGCAGAGGGAGGUAGAAUUCCACGUGUAGCAGUGAAAUGCGUAGAGAUGUGGAGGAACACCGAUGGCGAAGGCAGCCUUCUGGGCCAACACUGACGCUCAUGCACGAAAGUGUGGGGAGCGAACAGG
rnacentral:rRNA from 1 species